AAGCAGCAACAAAAUGAGAUUGGAGGAUCAGACAUCUGUUAGGAUACAUCCCUGGCAAGUGAAAAUAAAGUAAAACAAAUACAAAUACAAACUGUAGGAGCCAUUUUUAGGUGAAUAUAUGUAGAUACCAAAUUUGGCCCCUAGGUGUCCUCAUUGUAUUGUGUGUGUGUGAAUUUAUAUAUGGGUGGGAACAUCCUGGCAGGUGUCAGGUGUUGCUAGACGGAAGGAGCACACAGUUUUUCGACCGCUACGCUAUGCUACGACAUGGUAUGCUCCGCUCCGCUGUUGUCGCAUUUGUUUGUAUGAACUUUAUCUGCACUAAGUAAUGGAUUCUUGCAUGGUUAAAAGAUCCAGACGGUGAAAAAUAAAGAAAAUAUCAAAUGAAGAAGCGAAUCCGGAAGCUGUUUGUUUCAUUGGACACAAGUGUAGUAGCAGCAAGCGCGUCGAUUAGUUUUAGCCCGUCUAUGCAGCCCCUCAGUGGCUUUAAGUUUAGGCUUAGCCGCUACACAAACCAUGCUUCAGAAGUUACUACAUCAUCUGUGACUGCAGCUGCUUCAUUAACUUACAGCUGGAUGAUCGAUCCCAAGAGUUUUCUCCCUGAUCGCCAACGCAUCAUUCAACAGGAGCUAGAGCCGGUGCAGACUUCAGACCCAAACAGCAGCAGUUACAUGCUGUGCAGGGGACCAGUUGGAGAUGGAAGUCCUUCACACACCUGUUUGCAGAGCGGUACGGCGACUUCGUAUCGUCCCUGGGAUGCGUACUGGAUGACAAGGUUGUGGAGCGUUCGAAGGCGGGCGGGAAUCUCGUAGCCGCCCUGCUGGGCUGCAGCUGCUGCACUGCUGUGCUGCGGCUCCUCCUGGUCGUAUUUACGUAUGGAGGACAUGAACUGCAGGUGUCUGUUCUGCUCCUCCAGGGUGACCACCUCCUGCUCCCUGUCCUGCAGCCGCUGCUGAGCACCAGCCAGCUCGUCCCUCAACCACUGGUUCUCCUGACAAAGACGACGCACCUGAGAAGGAGGCAGAGGACGCAAUGAUGAAAAGAACGAAAGAAAGAGAGGAGAAAUGAUAAACGUACCUGAGCUCGCAGCUUCUGUUUCUCCGCCUCCAGUGAUCCCAGGUGAGCCGACAACGCCAUCAUCACCUGAGGAGACAAGAGACAACUGAGACAUGAAGCACAGAAGAAAAAUACAGCAGCAUAUUCAAAUGAACAUCAAAAUGUAGACACACGGACACAUGGAACUUUUCCUGCACAUUUUAUAGGGAAGCAUGAAAGGCUCCAAAGCUAUUACAUCAUAAGAACAUUUUAAAAUAAUACUUAAUUGCAUUUUUAAUGCUCAUCUAAUACUACAGCUUGUAAAUAUUGUAAUUUCUGUUCUCCUCGCUUUUAAAUACACCUUUAAUGUUAAAUAAACUUUUACUUUAAUCAG